GUCUAUGGCCAUGCUACCCUGAAGGAGCCUGAUUCCAGCUGAUCUCGGAAGCUAAGCAGGGUCAGGCUUGGUUAGUACUUGGAUGGGAGACCACCUGGAAGACCAAGUGCUGUAGGCA
rnacentral:rRNA from 1 species